UUUAUGGAGAGUUUGAUCCUGGCUCAGGAUGAACGCUGGCGGCGUGCCUAAUACAUGCAAGUCGAGCGAACAGAUAAGGAGCUUGCUCCUUUGACGUUAGCGGCGGACGGGUGAGUAACGAGUAA
rnacentral:rRNA from 1 species